AGCCCAAACCGAAGGUAUUCCUUCGGGGUUGUAGGACCACGUCAUAUUCGACCAUACUGGAUAGUAGAACAGCCUGGAAAGGCUGGCCGGAGAAGGUGAAAGCCCUGUAGACGAAAUCCAGAGUGGGAAUUAGUGGUAUCCUGAGUAAUACAUCACACGUGGAACGAUGUAUGAACCCGCGCGGACCACCGCGCAAGGCUAAAUACUAGUUGGCGACCGAUAGUGAACAAGUACCGCGAGGGAAAGGUGAAAAGAACCGCUGUGAGCGGAGUGAAACAGAACCUGAAACCGUAUGUCUACAAAGUGUCAGAGCAGAGCAAUCUGCGAUGGCGUGCCUUUUGUUUAAUGAGUCUGCGAGUCAGUGUUUGUGGCAAGACUAAGGGCUUCCGGCCCGGAGUCGCAGCGAAAGCAAGUCCGAACAGGGCGCAAUAAGUCGCAGGUACUGGACCCGAAGCGGAGGUGACCUACCCUUGGCCAGGUUGAAGCAUGGGUAAAACCAUGUGGAGGACCGAACAGGUGAACGUUGAAAAGUUCUCUGAUGAGCUGAGGGUAGGAGUGAAAGGCUAAUCAAACCCCGUGAUAGCUGGUUCUCUUCGAAAUGCAUUUAGGUGCAGCGUCACGUGCUGAUGCGCGGGGGUAGAGCACUGACAAGGCUAGGGGGCACACCCGCUUACCAAACCUUAUCAAACUCCGAAUACCGUGCAAUGGAACGUGGCAGUGAGACAGUGGGGGAUAAGCUUCAUUGUCGAGAGGGAAACAACCCAGACCAGCAGCUAAGGUGCCUAAAUAACGCUCAGUGGAAAGGAUGUGGGAUUACACAGACAGUGAGGAUGUUGGCUUAGAAGCAGCCACCAUUUAAAAAAUGCGUAAUAGCUUACUCAUCGAGUGAUCCUGCGCCGAAAAUGAUUGGCGAUCAAGCGUUAUACCGAAGCUCUGGACUUUGCCGCAAGGCAGAGUGGUAGAAGAGCGUUGCAUGCGCGUCGAAGGGUGAUGGCGACUGACCCUGGAGCACAUGCAAGUGAGUAUGCAGACAUGAGUAACGUUAAGCCGGGUGAAAUCCCCGGCCGCCGUAAACCCGAGGUUUCCAGGGCAACGUGUUUCGUCCCUGGGUUAGCCGGGACCUAAGCCGAGGCCGAGAGGCGUAGGCGAUGGACAUCAGGUUAAUAAUCCUGAGCUCGCAACCCUUAAACUGGGGGGACGCAUGAGAAAAGAUGACUAGGUUAUUGAAUUCCGAGUUGAGUCCACGGACUCAGCGCAUCAUUGGAUCGAGUGCCAAGAAAAGCCCCAGCGUAUGCUAAGCGACCCGUACCGCAAACCGACACAGGUGGGUGGGUAGAAUAUACCAAGGCGUAAGAGUGAAACCUGGUUAAGGAACUCGGCAAAUUAGCCCCGUAACUUCGGAAGAAGGGGUGCCUGCAGCGAUGCAGGCCGCAGAGAAAUGGCCCAACCGACUGUUUAUCAAAAACACAGCACUCUGCAAAGACGCAAGUCGAAGUAUAGGGUGUGACACGUGACCAAUGCCGAAAGAUUAAGGCAAGGGGUUAGCCGCAAGGCGAAGCUCUAAACCCAAGUCCCGGUGAAUGUCGGCCGUAACUAUAACGGUCCUAAGGUAGCGAAAUUCCUUGUCGGGUAAGUUCCGACCUGCACGAAUCGUGAAACGAGUUGGGCACUGUCUCAACCAGGCGCUCAGUGAAAUUGUAGUGGCGGUGAAGAUGCCGCCUACCCGCAGAAGGACGGAAAGACCCUAUAGACCUUAACUGUAAGCUGUCAUUGUUUCUUCGGUUUUAAUGCUCAGAGUAAGUGGGAGACGCUGAAGACGCCCUUUAGGGGGCGUCCGAGUCAUCAAUGAGACACCACCCUUUGAAACUGGAGGAUCUAACCCUGAGCCGUGAAUCCGGCCAGAGGACCGUGUCAGCCGGUCAGUUUUACUGGGGCGGUAUCCUCCCA
rnacentral:rRNA from 1 species